AUUGAACGCUGGCGGCAUGCCUUACACAUGCAAGCCGAACGGUAACAGGUCUUCGGAUGCUGACGAGUGGCGAACGGGUGAGUAAUACAUCGGAACGUGCCCGAUCGUGGGGGAUAACGAAGCGAAAGCUUUGCUAAUACCGCAUAAGAUCUACGGAUGAAAGCAGGGGACCGCAAGGCCUUGCGCGAACGGAGCGGCCGAUGGCAGAUUAGGUAGUUGGUGGGAUAAAAGCUUACCAAGCCGACGAUCUGUAGCUGGUCUGAGAGGACGACCAGCCACACUGGGACUGAGACACGGCCCAGACUCCUACGGGAGGCAGCAGUGGGGAAUUUUGGACAAUGGGCGAAAGCCUGAUCCAGCCAUGCCGCGUGCAGGAUGAAGGCCUUCGGGUUGUAAACUGCUUUUGUACGGAACGAAAAGACUCUGGUUAAUACCUGGGGUCCAUGACGGUACCGUAAGAAUAAGCACCGGCUAACUACGUG
rnacentral:rRNA from 1 species